rnacentral:tRNA from 2 species
GUCAGGAUAGCUCAGCUGGUAGAGCAGA